rnacentral:rRNA from 1 species
AUUGAACGCUGGCGGCAUGCUUUACACUUGCAAGUCGAACGGUAACAGGUUAAGCUGACGAGUGGCGAACGGGUGAGUAAUGCAUCGGAACGUGCCCGAUCGUGGGGGAUAACGCAGCGAAAGCUGCGCUAAUACCGCAUACGAUCUGAGGAUGAAAGCGGGGGACCGUAAGGCCUCGCGCGAUCAGAGCGGCCGAUGUCAGAUUAGGUAGUUGGUGGGGUAAAGGCUCACCAAGCCAACGAUCUGUAGCUGGUCUGAGAGGACGACCAGCCACACUGGGACUGAGACACGGCCCAGACUCCUACGGGAGGCAGCAGUGGGGAAUUUUGGACAAUGGGCGAAAGCCUGAUCCAGCAAUGCCGCGUGCAGGAAGAAGGCCUUCGGGUUGUAAACUGCUUUUGUACAGAGCGAAAAGGUUCUCUCUAAUACAGAGGGCUCAUGACGGUACCGUAAGAAUAAGCACCGGCUAACUACGUGCCAGCAGCCGCAGUAAAAC